rnacentral:rRNA from 1 species
ACAUACGACCAUAGGGUGUGGAAAACAGGGCUUCCCGUCUGCUCAGCCGUACUUAAGCCACACGCCGGCCGGUUAGUAGUUGGGUGGGUGACCACCAGCGAAUCCCGGCUGUUGUAUGUA